rnacentral:rRNA from 1 species
UAACACAUGCAAGUCGAACGAGGCAUAUCAGUGACAAGAAGCAGCUUGCUGCGGACAGGAACAGAUAUGACUUAGUGGCGGACGGGUGAGUAACGCGUGGGGAACCUGCCUCAUACAGGGGGAUAACAGUUAGAAAUGACUGCUAAUACCGCAUAAGCGCACAGUAUCGCAUGAUACAGUGUGAAAAGCUCCGGCAGUAUGAGAUGGACCCGCGUCUGAUUAGUCAGUUGGUGGGGUAAAGGCCUACCAAAGCGAUGAUCAGUAGCCGGCCUGAGAGGGCGACCGGCCACAUUGGGACUGAGACACGGCCCAAACUCCUACGGGAGGCAGCAGUGGGGGAUAUUGCACAAUGGGGGAAACCCUGAUGCAGCGACGCCGCGUGAGUGAAGAAGUAUUUCGGUAUGUAAAGCUCUAUCAGCAGGGAAGAAAAUGACGGUACCUGACUAAGAAGCCCCGGCUAACUACGUGCCAGCAGCCGCGGUAAUACGUAGGGGGCAAGCGUUAUCCGGAUUUACUGGGUGUAAAGGGAGCGUAGAUGGCAUGGCAAGUCAGAUGUGAAAACCCGUGGCUCAACCACGGGACUGCAUUUGAAACUGUCAAGCUGGAGUGCAGGAGAGGUAAGUG